UUCCCCAGCAACCAGGAAUGAAAGUGCUGCUUGAGGGAAAUAAACCUCCCAGAGAGUGAAGUCUCAGAUAUAUCUCUAAGUACUGUAUCGUAGUGAUAUGCUGACCUUCGUUUAUCAAUUCACCCAUUAAUGGACAUUUGGGUUGCUUCCAGCUAUUGGCUAUUACGGAUAACGCUGCUAUAAACAUUCACAGACAGCCUUGCAGUCAAAUGAUGAGAAAACAGCUCUGCAGCAUAAAGGAAUAUUCCUGGGUCACAUAGUGAGUGGCAGAGCCUGGACCUCAGAGCUCUCGAUCCCCAAGCCAGUGUCCUUUCUGCUUCAUUCAUCCAUUCAUCCAUUCAUUCAUCCAACUGUGAGAACUGAGCUGAC